AUUGAACGCUGGCGGCAGGCUUAACACAUGCAAGUCGAGCGAGCGGCGGACGGGUGAGUAAUGUCUGGGAAACUGCCUGAUGGAGGGGGAUAACUACUGGAAACGGUAGCUAAUAACGCAUACCCUCCGAUGAGCCCAGAUGGGAUGCGCUAGUAGGUGGGGUAAUGGCUCACCGAGGCGACGUUCCCUAGCUGGUCUGAGAGGAUGACCAGCAAAACUGGAACUGAGACACGGUCCAGACUCCUACGGGAGGAAGCAGUGGGGAAUAUUGCACAAUGGGCGCAAGCCUGAUGAAGCAAUGCCGCGUGGGUGAAGAAGGCUUUCGGGUUGUAAAGUACUUUCAGCGGGGAGGCGUUACCCGCAGAAGAAGCACCGGCUAACUCCGUGCCAGCAGCCGCGGUAAUUC
rnacentral:rRNA from 1 species